AAAGCUGAACAAACGCACGGUUCUGCUGCGGCCGCUCAGCAAGCAGGAGCCUUACAGCCAUUUCAGCUUCUUUCCACCUACGGCGGCGAAGUCUCUGGAGGUCUCUCACCAGCAGCACGGGUUCCUGUCGCUGACGUACACGCAGGCCGUGACGAGGAAUGUGCGGCACAAGCUGACGGUGCGCCCGUCUCAGCGGCUGUGUGAGGACGGGCCGGACGCAGUGCCGCACGAGAUCCUGCUCACGGCGCAGCCCUUAGACCCUGUGCUGUCCUGCCCUCUGCUGGCCACCGUGGCGCGCGUCUUCCAGGUGUGUCCUCCGCCGCCGCAGCUGCAUUCCCCGAUCACAGAGCAGCCCACGAGAGCACACUCACUGUACUCCAGCAGCCUGCCGCUCGUCUACCUCAACACCAGCGUGAUCCGUGUCUUCUGCCCCCUGCAGGACACACAGAGCAGCACAUGUGAGAACGCACCCUCGCUUACACACUGAUGAUGAUGAUGAGGAGGAGGGUGAUGAUGAUGGUGUGUGUGUGUGUUCAGAUUCACAGCUCAAGCACAGGAAGAAAGACACAGUUGUGCUGAAGAUUGGAUCGGUGAGCGUCGCUCCUCAGGCCGACAAUCCACUGCCGCGCUCCGUCCUGUGCAAAGACAUCUACCAACGGGCGCUGAAUCUGGGCGUUCUGCGUGACCCGGGGUCAGAGGUCGAGGACCGUCAGUAUCAGAUUGACCUG